GAUGAACGCUGGCGGCGUGCCUAAUACAUGCAAGUCGAGCGAACGGACGAGAAGCUUGCUUCUCUGAUGUUAGCGGCGGACGGGUGAGUAACACGUGGAUAACCUACCUAUAAGACUGGGAUAACUUCGGGAAACCGGAGCUAAUACCGGAUAAUAUUUUAAACCGCAUGGUUCAAAAGUGAAAGACGGUCUUGCUGUCACUUAUAGAUGGAUCCGCGCUGCAUUAGCUAGUUGGUAAGGUAACGGCUUACCAAGGCAACGAUGCAUAGCCGACCUGAGAGGGUGAUCGGCCACACUGGAACUGAGACACGGUUCAGACUCCUACGGGAGGCAGCAGUAGGGAAUCUUCCGCAAUGGGCGAAAGCCUGACGGAGCAACGCCGCGUGAGUGAUGAAGGUCUUCGGAUCGUAAAACUCUGUUAUUAGGGAAGAACAUAUGUGUAAGUAACUGUGCACAUCUUGACGGUACCUAAUCAGAAAGCCACGGCUAACUACGUG
rnacentral:rRNA from 1 species